rnacentral:rRNA from 1 species
UACGUAGGGUGCGAGCGUUGUCCGGAAUUAUUGGGCGUAAAGAGCUUGUAGGCGGUUUGUCGCGUCUGCUGUGAAAAUCCGGGGCUCAACCCCGGACUUGCAGUGGGUACGGGCAGGCUAGAGUGUGGUAGGGGAGACUGGAAUUCCUGGUGUAGCGGUGAAAUGCGCAGAUAUCAGGAGGAACACCGGUGGCGAAGGCGGGUCUCUGGGCCGUAACUGACGCUGAGGAGCGAAAGCAUGGGGAGCGAACAGG